rnacentral:rRNA from 1 species
CCUACGGGGGGCAGCAGUGGGGGAUAUUGCACAAUGGGGGGAACCCUGAUGCAGCGACGCCGCGUGGGUGAAGGAGUGCUUCGGCAUGUAAAGCCCUAUCGGCAGGGAAGAAGCAAGACGGUACCUGACUAAGAAGCCCCGGCUAAAUACGUGCCAGCAGCCGCGGUAAUACGUAGGGGGCGAGCGUUAACCGGAUUCACUGGGUGUAAGGGGAGCGUAGACGGCCAGGCAAGCCAGGGGUGAAAGCCCGGGGCCCAACCCCGGGACUGCCCGUGGGACUGCAAGGCUGGAGUGCGGGAGGGGCGGGCAGAAUUCCUGGUGUAGCGGUGAAAUGCGUAGAGAUCAGGAGGAACACCGGCGGCGAAGGCGGCCCGCUGGACGGCGACUGACGUUGAGGCGCGAAAGCGUGGGGAGCGAACAGGAUUAGAUACCCGAGUAGUC